GACAGAGGGUGCAAACGUUGUUCGGAAUUACUGGGCGUAAAGCGCGUGUAGGCGGCUAUGUAAGUCGGGCGUGAAAUCCCACGACUCAACCGUGGAAGUGCACUCGAAACUGCAUAGCUAGAGUCCUGGAGAGGAAGGUGGAAUGCUUGGUGUAGAGGUGAAAUUCGUAGAUAUCAAGCGGAACACCGGUGGCGAAGGCGGCCUUCUGGACAGUGACUGACGCUGAGACGCGAAAGCGUGGGGAGCAAACAGG
rnacentral:rRNA from 1 species